ACCAUUUUUCUUCCAUUUAUCUUGAUAUCCUUUUCUUCGAUUUCUCUUUGUACCAUUUUUCUUCCAUUUAUCUUGAUAUCCUUUUCUUCGAUUUCUCUUUGUACACAAGUUAAUGAAGUAUGUACACGUCACUGUUUGCAACAUAUUGCCACAGUAUCAACGAAACAUUCCACUUGCCUUGAUGUCUGAAAGACUCACAGGUUAUCUUCAGAAAAUCUUCAAAAAGCAAUAGCCUGUGUCCACCAAAAUUCAAUCCUGAGACUUUUACAAGGAAUCAGAUAUUGCUGAACACUCUCUGUACCGUGAGGGAAAGAUGAAAAGAAUUUUGAAGAGAAAGGUAAAAAGACUUGAAAUCGUUGGAAAGGAAGCUUUGGAUUCCAAGAAAUGACAAAUGAUUUGCUUAGGAUUAAGAUACUUUCGAAAUCUAAAGCUAUGAACUUUUGUCAGGAUAAGAUCAGAGUAAUUUUGUUGAUUAGUUGGUUAUUUUUGACCUUACAAAAACAGAGUUAGUCUGAGGGGAUUUUUCGAUCUUGUCAAACUGGGAUUCAAUGACCCGUCUUGGAAACACGGACCAAGGAGUCUAACAAUUAUGCGAGUUUUAGAGUGAAAAACUCUGUGGCGUAAUGAAAGUGAAAAAAAGUGUCACGUUUACUGCAGCACUGGUCGUCUUUGUUCUUUUGAACAUGGAAUGAACAAGAGCAUAAUUGUUAGGACCCGAAAGAUGGUGAACUUAUGCUUGAGUAA
rnacentral:rRNA from 1 species